rnacentral:rRNA from 1 species
GGCCAGACUCCUACGGGAGGCAGCAGUGGGGGAUAUUGGACAAUGGGGGGAACCCUGAUCCAGCGAUGCCGCGUGAGGGAAGAAGGUUUUCGGAUUGUAAACCUCUGUGGACAGGGACGAUAAUGACGGUACCUGUCAAGAAAGCCACGGCUAACUACGUGCCAGCAGCCGCGGUAAUACGUAGGUGGCGAGCGUUAUCCGGAAUGAUUGGGCGUAAAGGGUGCGUAGGCGGUCGAUUAAGUCUGGAGUGAAAGGUACCGGCUCAACCGGUAUAGGCUCCGGAAACUGAUGGACUGGAGUACAGGAGAGGGUGGCGGAACUCCAUGUGUAGCGGUAAAAUGCGUAGAUAUAUGGAAGAACACCGGUGGCGAAGGCGGCCGCCCGGACUGUAACUGACGCUGAGGCACGAAAGCGUGGGGAGCAAACAGGAUUAGAUACCCGUGUACA